GACGAACGCUGGCGGCGCGCCUAACACAUGCAAGUCGAACGGGACUAUGCUGGAAGAAGUUUUCGGAUGGAUUUUGGUAUAGUUUAGUGGCGGACGGGUGAGUAACACGUGAGCAACCUGCCUUCGAGAGGGGAAUAACGGCUGGAAACGGUCGCUAAUACCGCAUAAUAUACAGGAGGGACAUCCCUUUUGUAUCAAAGAUUUAUCGCUCGAAGAUGGGCUCGCGUCCGAUUAGGUAGUUGGUGAGGUAACGGCCCACCAAGCCGACGAUCGGUAGCCGGACUGAGAGGUUGAACGGCCACAUUGGGACUGAGACACGGCCCAGACUCCUACGGGAGGCAGCAGUGGGGGAUAUUGCACAAUGGGGGAAACCCUGAUGCAGCGACGCCGCGUGUGGGAAGACGGCCCUCUGGAUUGUAAACCACUGUCCCCAGGGACGAAGA
rnacentral:rRNA from 1 species